CUGGCUCAGGAUGAACGCUAGCGACAGCUAACACACGCAAGUCGAGGGGCAGACAUAAAAGUAGCAAUACGUUGGUGGCGACCGGCGCACGGGUGAGUAACGCGUAUGCAACCUACCUAUCAGAGGGGAAUAACCCGGCGAAAGUCGGACUAAUACCGCAUAAAACAGGGGCACCGCAUGGUGAUAUUUGUUAAAGAAAUUCGCUGAUAGAUGGGCAUGCGUUCCAUUAGGUAGUUGGUGAGGUAACGGCUCACCAAGCCGACGAUGGAUAGGGGAACUGAGAGGUUGGUCCCCCACACUGGUACUGAGACACGGACCAGACUCCUACGGGAGGCAGCAGUGAGGAAUAUUGGUCAAUGGGCGAGAGCCUGAACCAGCCAAGUCGCGUGAAGGAAGAAGGAUCUAUGGUUCGUAAACUUCUUUUGCAGGGGAAUAAAGUGCAGGACGUGUCCUGUUUUGUAUGUACCCUGAGAAUAAGGAUCGGCUAACUCCGUGCCAGCCGCUGC
rnacentral:rRNA from 1 species